UGAACCUUUAAGAACAGUCCCGUGAGGCUGAGAAGGAAACGGACGCUUGAUCCCUAGGAAGAGGUAUAUACCUUUUUAACUAGCAGACGUAUGUCUAAAAAUCCUCUCGCCAAUCGGUGAGAGGAUUUUUUUGU
rfam:Bacillus koreensis strain DSM 16467 scaffold13, whole genome shotgun sequence.